GUCGAACGCGUUGGCCCAAUUGAUUGAUGGUGCUUGCACCUGAUUGAUUUUGGUCGCCAACGAGUGGCGGACGGGUGAGUAACACGUAGGUAACCUGCCCAGAAGCGGGGGACAACAUUUGGAAACAGAUGCUAAUACCGCAUAACAGCGUUGUUCGCAUGAACAACGCUUAAAAGAUGGCUUCUCGCUAUCACUUCUGGAUGGACCUGCGGUGCAUUAGCUUGUUGGUGGGGUAACGGCCUACCAAGGCGAUGAUGCAUAGCCGAGUUGAGAGACUGAUCGGCCACAAUGGGACUGAGACACGGCCCAUACUCCUACGGGAGGCAGCAGUAGGGAAUCUUCCACAAUGGGCGCAAGCCUGAUGGAGCAACACCGCGUGAGUGAAGAAGGGUUUCGGCUCGUAAAGCUCUGUUGUUAAAGAAGAACACGUAUGAGAGUAACUGUUCAUACGUUGACGGUAUUUAACCAGAAAGUCACGGCUAACUACGUGCCAGCAGCCGCGGUAAUACGUAGGUGGCAAGCGUUAUCCGGAUUUAUUGGGCGUAAAGAGAGUGCAGGCGGUUUUCUAAGUCUGAUGUGAAAGCCUUCGGCUUAACCGGAGAAGUGCAUCGGAAACUGGAUAACUUGAGUGCAGAAGAGGGUAGUGGAACUCCAUGUGUAGCGGUGGAAUGCGUAGAUAUAUGGAAGAACACCAGUGGCGAAGGCGGCUACCUGGUCUGCAACUGACGCUGAGACUCGAAAGCAUGGUUAGCGAACACGAUUAGAU
rnacentral:rRNA from 2 species